AACGAACGCUGGCGGCGUGCCUAAUACAUGCAAGUCGAGCGAGAAAGCCUCUUCGGAGGUGAGUAAAGCGGCGCACGGGUGAGUAACACGUGGGCAACCUACCCUUGAGUCUGGGAUAACCCGGGGAAACUCGGGCUAAUACCAGAUACGGCUGCGGGGUCUUCGGAUCCUGUGGAGAAAGAUGGCCUCUUCUUGAAAGCUAUCUCUCGAGGAUGGGCCCGCGUCCUAUUAGCUAGNGGUGAGGUAACGGCUCACCAAGGCAAAGAUGGGUAGCUGGUCUGAGAGGAUGGCCAGCCACACUGGGAACUGAGACACGGUCCAGACUCCUACGGGAGGCA
rnacentral:rRNA from 1 species